AGGCGCGUAGCUCAGUGGGAGAGCGCUACCUUGACACGGUAGAGGCCAGCGGUUCAAUCCCGCUCGCGCCUACCA
rnacentral:tRNA from 1 species